UUAACAAGAGAUACAAAGAAAUGUCAACCCCUAUCUUGUUUCUCUGAAACAGUUGUGUGUGGACGUCUCACUUAAAACUCCUUCAGCUCCCGUGUAAGCACAGGGAGAAGCUGGAAUGCCGGGGGCGGAGGAGCAGAAAGGUGAAAAUGAUCUGAGUCCUAAGUUUCACAUGCGUGAGCCCUGGAGAGCCUUAUCUCCUGACUUUUGUUUCAGGAGAUGGUCAAUUUCCCCUGAUGUUUGCUCCGUUGAAGUCUGUUUUACGGCAAAUCCAAGAAGCAUUCUCGUGUAGGAGUGUCAGAGCCACACGGAUGUUUACACCUGCGUCGGGGCUGUAGCCCUCAUGCCACAGCUGAUCGGCACAGAAGCGGAUGGAAGGGGAUGUCUGUGGCGUCACCCUCUUGAAGAUUGAUCAUUUUACUGCCUAGAUAAAAAGUGAGACAAACCACA
rnacentral:lncRNA from 1 species